GUGUAAUAUGACGUUGUGUGUACUACACCCAGUCAUACAGCACAACAGAGGGAAAGAACAGGAGACAUCCAGUAUGGUGAAUAGACUGAAACCAUCUUUAAUAGCAUGUUGAUAUACUGCAGAACAGAAGUCAGGUAAAGAGGGAUUCAAAGCCAACCGAGGGAGGUGAUGGUUAAAACCUAUGCCCAAAUUCAACAAGUCCGUCCUCCUAAAACGUCCCCUUCCUCACUGUGUGACAAUAGAACAACAUAGGUGACAGAAAACCCCCAGAAGGGAAGAGUUUCACGCGUCACCCGAAACGACAGCAGUGCAUUUUUAGCAUCACAGAGCCCUUUCGUCUAUAUCCAAAGAAAAAGGUUAGUCAUUUGAACUAACUUACAGUAGCAUUCAAUCAAUUCCACUAAGCCUCAUUUUUGCUGCUUGAGACUCCAUUCCUGGGAGAAAGGUCACAUUUUUGCCAACAAAGACAAUGAUAGGCUUCUCACAUUCUGAUGCAUUGUGGGUGAAUGGACAGAAUAAUGACAUAUUUAUCCCCUGUGCUGCACUCUGUCAACUUCAGUCAUGCACAACAAACUUGACUUUGAAGGGAAAGCAUGUAUCACAGUAUCAAUAGGCCUCCUAUACAUACAAAACCAAUGUCAUGCCUGGUUGAAGAAUCACAUUCACUCCACAUGUUGAACUGACAACGACGAAAGGAACAGGAAACAGAUCACCUUGUUCUUAGAGUGUGAAAUGGAUACAGACACAGCUCUCUGGUUUGCCAUAGGCUGUUAAACCCUAAAGAGACAGUGUGCUUCCCAAAUGGCACCCUAUUCCUUUUCUAGUGCACUAAUUUUGACCAGGGCCUAUAGGUCAAAAGUAGGGGACUAUGUAGGGAACAGUGCGCUAUUUGGGACACUAACACAGUGAAGUAUUUGAAAUAUGUAACCCUGUUUUAAACACCCUUCAGCAGUUAAUAUAACAGAGCCUUGUGUCUAUUGAAACUGACACAUUAAAUAAAGAGACAAAAAGGGGAAGGAUCUCAGCUGAAGAGAUUUAUGUGAGAUCUCCUCUUGGUGAGCAGGAGUCACGAUGCUGCGGUGGGCAUGGGACAAUCUCCACACACACACACACACACACACACACAGUCAACCUCUCAGCCCCCACAGCAGCGUGGUGCAAUAGAUUGUUUUUCCAGGAGCUCGCUCCUCACAGAUGAAGUAGACUGAGAUUGGAGAUGAGAUGGAGACCUCCACACAGCAGGUUGGUAAUUAUCUGAACUAGGGGCAGGGAUGAGAGGAGGCCAGGAGGGCCAGCCGAAUACAUAUUCCACACCGCCUGAUGUAGCUCAUGUUUUAAACAUGGGCACAUUCAGACCAGAGCAGUCGAUGAACUAUUUCAGAUAAAUUACAUUUUGUUGACCUUAGCAUUUACAUGGAUGGAGAUAACUCAGUUGUCCUCUCCGACAACCCAAUUUGAUAUUUAACAAACAAAGCUGAGCGAAAAGCGAGAGAUUAAGAUUAUGCUUGUCCCCUUCAAUACAGAUGAGCAAAUAACAGACAAAACACUUGAGUGCUGUUAUGAGUGAUGUGAAUAUUGGAGUACUAAGCUUUUAAAAAGUCAAAUAAAAAGGCUAUCUUGAUACACAGAAGAAGCAGCAUUGAGAAAUUACAAGAGUCAUGUUUAUCCAGUGUAUAUGUUUAACAUAAUGAGUGUGUUGCACUCCAAAAUACACUGGGAAAUCAUUUUGGUUGGAUUGUAUUGGCAGACAGAUCUGCAGACUGGCAAAGGGCGAAUAGUGGGAAUUACCAGUCUUAUUGGCUGUGAUUAGGGCCUGGAGUUAUUCCUGGUCCUAGUUAUGCUCUCAGCAUAACAGCACAUGCAUACAAUAAAUGUGCAAUCUAAACCAUUCCAGAACAUUCCAGAACAUUUACGUCAAGAAUUCCUGAGCUGAAUAUAACAAUGACGACAGCAAAUAAAGAGCUUAUUUCCUGGGCUGUUAUUGGCUUUUGGUUUGGCAGUAAGCCUUCUGAUUGGUUGCCUUGCCUUCAUCCUUAGCUACAGUAACUGAACGGGGGAUCUGUGGAGGAUGACAGUGGAAGUGUGUUUCCUGAUAAUAGAAAAGAAAGAAAAACAACACCACAGAGAGUGACAAAUAACACACCUCCUCAGAUGAGAGAGAGAGAGAGAGAGAGAGAGAGAGAGAGAGAGAGAGAGAGACAGAGAGAGACGAGAGAGAGACAGAGAGGGAGACAGACAGGGAGAGAGAAAGACGAGAGAGAGACAGAGAGGGAGAGAGAGAGACAGAGAGACAGAGAGAGAGAGAGAGAGGGGAGAUAGAGAGGGAGAGAGAGAGAGAGAGAGAGACAGCAGUCUCCCAUUUCAAUGAAUACAUCCACCACAUUGCAAACAAGGAGACAGGUUGCACUUAAAUAUCGCUAGCUGUAAUUAUUUUUAUAUGUAGGAUACUCCUCUUAAAUAUGGCUAGCUGUAAUUAUUUUUAUAUGUAGGGUACUCCUCUUAAAUAUCGCUAGCUGUAAUUAUUUUUAUAUGUAGGGUACUCCUCUUAAAUAUCGCUAGCUGUAAUUAUUUUUAUAUGUAGGGUACUCCUCUUAAAUAUGGCUAGCUGUAAUUAUUUUUAUAUGUAGGGUACUCCUCUUAAAUAUCG
rnacentral:lncRNA from 1 species